GACGAACGCUGGCGGCGUGCUUAACACAUGCAAGUCGAACGAAGUGGCGAACGGGUGAGUAACGCGUAAUCAACCUGCCCUUCAGAGGGGGACAACAGUUGGAAACGACUGCUAAUACCGCAUACUGAAGGAGGGGAUUGCGUCUGAUUAGCUAGUUGGAGGGGUAACGGCCCACCAAGGCGAUGAUCAGUAGACGGUCAGAGAGCAUGAACGGCAAAAUUGGUACUGAGAGACGGCCCAGACACGUACGGGAGGCAGCAGUGGGGAAUCGUCCGAAAUGGACGAAAGUCUGACGGAGCAACGCCGCGUGAGCGAUGACGGCAUUCGGGUUGUAAAGGUCUGUUAAUCCGGACGCGGUACCGGAAUAGAAAGCCACGGCUAACUACGUGCCAGCAGCCGCGGUAAUAC
rnacentral:rRNA from 1 species